rnacentral:SRP_RNA from 1 species
ACCGAGCCGAGUAGCGCUAGCUUGUAACCCGAGCGGGGGAAAUAAAGGGUGGUGUUUGAAUGCCUGGUGGUUGCGCAUUGGGCCUGGGCCUCGGUAGGCACGGUUUGCGGCCCGCCCGUCCCAAGAUGCGGUAGCUGCGCCUGGGGGCCCGAGCGAAGGCUCGAUGGGCCUCACGGCCGCGUAGUUUGGCGGGGAACGCGUGAGGCUGGCUUCACAGAGCAGCGAGUAGUACCGCCCGCUUCCAACGGUUGGAGGAUAACGGGCUGCUGUGCUCCAGGCCCGCUCUGGCCCUUGUGCCUGUCCUGGCAGACCACCAUCUUU